rnacentral:hammerhead_ribozyme from 1 species
AUCCAUUCGACAAGUCCCAAAUAGGACGAAAUACGCGUCCUGGAU